CAGUGUUGUUAUAUAUUCAUUGAGUCAUUAGCAGAGCUGUCAAUAUAGGCUUGGCCCAUUGGGCCAGCCCAAUCCAGCCCGUAAUUUAGCAUGGUUGUGCUAGAGUUUUUGAAGCCCAUUUAAAACGAGGCUUUUAAGUCCGACCUGAGUAAGCCUGUGGCCCGGGAGGCUUGGUUGAGGCUGGGCCGGCCCAUGGGCCUAAUAAAAAUAUUUAUUUAAAAUAUAGAAAAUAUAAAAAGUAUACUGCCUUCAAUGAUGGAAAGUCAGAAUUGAAUCUUUACUUAGAGGAACCAAAGCGUGAUCUUGAGAAGUUCCAAGAGAUGGAUGUUGUCAUGUAUUGAAAGGACCAUUCUAGGAAAUAUCCUGAUCUUUCAGUGAUGGUGCAUGGUGUACUUAGUAUUCCUAUUACCACUGUGGCAUCGGAAUCAACAUUUAGCAUUGGUGGGCAUAUUUUGACAAAGUACAUAAGUUGCAUCCAUCAUGAAAAUGUCCAAAUACUUGUUACUACUCGAAAUUGGGUCCACGAUUUUUCCCAAACUCAAACUGAUGUAGAUAAAAGUGAAGAUGUUAAAACAACUUUGUCACAAGCGGAUUCAAAUGUGUUUGAUGAAGAUGAUGUAUUGGAUAUCUCAUAAGCGUCAUGGACGCUCUCUUGAAUAGUUUGUUUUGAGUUUUGAAUUUUAGUGAAUGAAAUAUAGUCUUGUCUUUUA